GGCGGGGUGGCAAUAAUGCAAGUCCCGCGGACUCUUUCUGGGGUCAGCAGCGGACGGGUGAUUACACGUGGGUAACCUGCCGGACAGACCGGGAUAACGCCUGGAAUCGGGUGCUAAUCCCGGGUAGAUUCUCUCUUCGCAUGGAGGGGGAAGGGAAGGUGGCGCCCGUCACCGCUGUUCGAGGGGCCCGCGGCGCAUUAGCUCGAUUGGCGGGGUAAGGGCCCACCAAGGCGACUAUGCGUAGCCGACCUGAGAGGGUGAGCGGCCACACUGGGACUGAGACACGGCCCAGACUCCUACGGGAGGCUGCAGUAGGGAAUCUUCUGCAAUGGGCGACAGCCUGACCGAGCAACGCCGCGUGAGUGAAGACGGUCUUCGGAUUGUAAAAGCUCUGUCUUGCAGGACGAGCGACAAGGAGAGGGUAUGCUCCUUGAGAGACGGUACCGCAUGUAGGAACCCCCGGCUGACUACCUUUCCAUCUGUCGCGGUUAA
rnacentral:rRNA from 1 species